GGGGAAACUGUUGCCUCGGCGGGAUCUCUGCCCCGGGUGCGUCGCAGCCCCGGACCAAGGCGCCCGCCGGAGGACCAACCAAAACUCUUAUUGUAUACCCCCUCGCGGGUUUUUUUAUAAUCUGAGCCUUCUCGGCGCCUCUCGUAGGCGUUUCGAAAAUGAAUCAAAACUUUCAACAACGGAUCUCUUGGUUCUGGCAUCGAUGAAGAACGCAGCGAAAUGCGAUAAGUAAUGUGAAUUGCAGAAUUCAGUGAAUCAUCGAAUCUUUGAACGCACAUUGCGCCCGCCAGUAUUCUGGCGGGCAUGCCUGUCCGAGCGUCAUUCCAACCCUCGAACCCCUCCGGGGGGUCGGCGUUGGGGAUCGGCCCUCCCUUAGCGGGUGGCCGUCUCCGAAAUACAGUGGCGGUCUCGCCGCAGCCUCUCCUGCGCAGUAGUUUGCACACUCGCAUCGGGAGCGCGGCGCGUCCACAGCCGUUAAACACCCAACUUCUGAAAUGUUGACCUCGGAUCAGGUAGGAAUACCCGCUGAACUUAAGCAUAUCAAUAAGCGGAGGAAAAGAAACCAACAGGGAUUGCCCCAGUAACGGCGAGUGAAGCGGCAACAGCUCAAAUUUGAAAUCUGGUCCCUAGGGCCCGAGUUGUAAUUUGUAGAGGAUGCUGGUGGUGAGGUGCCGCCCGAGUUCCCUGGAACGGGACGCCACAGAGGGUGAGAGCCCCGUCUGGCUGGCCGCCGAGCCUCUGUAAAGCUCCUUCGACGAGUCGAGUAGUUUGGGAAUGCUGCUCAAAAUGGGAAGGUAUAUGUCUUCUAAAGCUAAAUAUUGGCCAGAGACCGAUAGCGCACAAGUAGAGUGAUCGAAAGAUGAAAAGCACCUUGAAAAGAGGGUUAAAUAGUACGUGAAAUUGUUGAAAGGGAAGCGCUUGUGACCAGACUUGGGCGCGGCGGAUCCAUCCGGGGUUCUCUCCGGUGCACUUCGCCGCGUCUAGGCCAGCAUCAGUUCGUCCCCGGGGGGAAAAAGGUUUCGGGAACGUGGUCCUCUCCGGGGAGUGUUAAUAGCCCGUUGCUAAAAGGCCGGUAAACUU
rnacentral:rRNA from 1 species